CGUAGAGCAGUCCCCUCGGGUCCAGCUUCACACACAGCUGCUGAGAACGGCAGGCUGCCAGACAGGUAGACAGACAGGCAGAGCGGUAGAGAGACAGGUAGAGACAGACAGGUAGAGACAGACAGGUAGAGACAGACAGGCAGAGCGGUAGAGAGACAGGUAGAGACAGACAGGUAGAGACAGACAGGUAGGCACACAGGUAGAGACAGAAGGAGAGAAUAGGGAAAAAUAGGGAAAAAGGUUUGAUGUCAAUUCUGAUAAUCCUGUUUCUCGUAGUGCCCUAUUAUUGUCACCCUGGC